rnacentral:rRNA from 1 species
GAUGAACGCUAGCGGCAGGCCUAAUACAUGCAAGUCGAACGAGAUUAAGAGGCUUGCUUCUUAUGAAAGUGGCGCACGGGUGCGUAACGCGUAUGCAACCUACCUUUAUCAGGGGGAUAGCCCGAAGAAAUUCGGAUUAAGACCGCAUAAAAACACAGGAUAGCAUUAUCCAAUGUUCAAAUAUUUAUAGGAUUAAGAUGGGCAUGCGUGUCAUUAGCUAGUUGGCGGGGUAACGGCCCACCAAGGCGACGAUGACUAGGGGAUCUGAGAGGAUGACCCCCCACACUGGUACUGAGACACGGACCAGACUCCUACGGGAGGCAGCAGUAAGGAAUAUUGGUCAAUGGAGGGAACUCUGAACCAGCCAUGCCGCGUGCAGGAAGACAGCCCUCUGGGUCGUAAACUGCUUUUAUUCGGGAAUAAACCUUUCUACGUGUAGGAAGCUGAAUGUACCGAAGGAAUAAGGAUCGGCUAACUCCGUG